GUUGUGCUGGUUUGCCAUGUAUAAUUCUAUGUAUAUGUUUGAUGACAAUUCUGAUGAAGAAAUCCCUACCCAACAAGCUAUUCAGGAAAGCUUACAAGAGAGGCAUAAAAUUGAAACAAGUGGCUGUGCAACAGAGGCUGAAAGUUUCCAGUCUACUGCAAGUGAAGAACAUGGAAAGAUAAUUGCAGCAAUUCAGACAGGCCAAGAAGAGGCCUUGAAGAAGUUGGUGAAGCACAGUUCUGCCUUUGAAGAAGCAGAUGAGCAAGGCUGGCUUCCUGUGCAUGAAGCUGCAGCACAGCUAAAUAAGAACAUCCUUGAAAUAACUAUGAAAGCCUCCCAUGCCGGUACGUGGGAACAGACCACUCUAAAAGGGGAAACACCUCUGCUGGUGGCAGUAAGGAACUGCUUUGUGGACAACGUCUGCUUGCUCCUGAUCAAUGGCUGCAAUCCCAACGUUAAGAAUGAAGAGGGAGAUUCUCCUUUACUUAUAGCAAUUAAACAGGAUUCCUAUGAGAUUGCCUCCUUGUUGAUAAGAUGUGGUGCCAAAGUGGAUUUGCAGUGUGUCCACAAGAGAACUGCUCUACACGAGGCAGCCAGACUGGGCAGGAAGGAUCUGGUAGAGCUUCUCCUUCAUUCUGGAGCAGAUCCUGACCCUCGCAGUGGAUAUGGGCUCACACCUCUAGCACUGGCUGCACAGAUGGGACACACAGAAAUUAUGGAGCUCUUACUGCAAAAAGGUGCAGAUGUUCUUUCACAGGCAAUGGAUUGUGCUUCUGUAUUAUUUGAAGCAGCAGGAGGAGGAAAUCCAGAUUCUGUGAGUCUUUUACUAGAAUAUGGGGCUGAUGCCAAUGUACCAAAGCACUCGGGUCAUUUGCCAAUCCACAGAGCUGCAUAUAGAGGACACUUUCUAGCCCUAAAAUAUUUAGUUCCAGUUACUGAUUUUGCUGCCAUUAAAGAAAGUGGGAUAAGUCCAGUUCACUCAGCAGCAGCGGGAGCACAUCCACAGUGCCUUGAGUUUCUCCUCAAGUCUGGGUUUGAUGCCAAUUUUAUGCUGGAUCAGCGAGUUCGCAAAGGCUACGAUGACCACCGCAAAUCAGCCCUGUAUUUUGCUGUGUCCAACGGGGAUCUCUGUUCCACACGGCUGCUGCUGAACGCCGGAGCCCUGACAAACCAGGAUCCCAUCAACUGUCUGCAAAUCGCCCUGAGGAUGGGCAAUUACGAGUUAAUGAACCUGCUGCUCCGCCACGGGGCCAACGUGAAUUACUUCUGCAGAGUGAACACCACGCACUUCCCCUCGGCGCUGCAGUACGCCCUGAAGGACGAGGUCAUGCUGAGGAUGCUGCUCAACUACGGGUACAACGUGCAGCGCUGCUUCGACUGCCCCGGGGGAAACCACUGCCACUCGCAGUAUGUCACUGACGGCUGGACCUCCACUGUCAUCAAAGACACGAUGUUCUGUGAAGUGAUAACCUUGUCCUGGCUGAAGCACCUGUCUGGGAAGGUAGUGCGAGUGAUGUUAGACUACGUUGAUCACGUCAAGAUCUGCUGGAAGCUUGAAGCAGUUCUCAAAGAACAGAAACUCUGGCCAGACAUCCAUUUCAUUUUAACAAAUCCUCGCUCUCUGAAGCAUCUCUGUCGUCUGAAGAUCCGGGAAUGCAUGGGCCGGCUGCGGCUCCGCUGUCCUGUCUUCAUGACCUUCCUUCCACUGCCAAACUGCCUGAAAGACUACAUACUGUACAAGGAAUAUGACCUUUAUGGACAGGAAAACUUCACAGGAAUCUACAACCUCAGCUGUACAUAAGUAUUAGCUCUAUAUUUUGAAGGGAAUGUUAUCAUGGAUAAGACUGUUGUGCAGCUGCUUUUUUCUUUGGGGAUUUUAUCUCCUAUGUGUAUUAAGGAAUGCCAGCAUUCCCCUCUCACCCCCUGAAGAAACUAGGGAGAACCCCAAAAUAUUUUGAGCCUCCAGAUUCACCAAAAGGAUUUGUGCGUCUAUUAAAAAAUGAAAACAUUAAACCAGGAGUCAGAUUACAGGAACCACUCAUGGAUAAUGUAGUAGUCUCAUGCUGUGUCAAACACCAACAUGUAAUGAUUUCAGAAACUUGUAAUCUGGAGGAAUAUGAAUCUGGAGUGUGGUGAAUCACCAGAACAGGCAAUUUAAUCAGGAGUGAGCCAUAAACUGCUGUAUUUGAGGGCCCACAUUAUGGAACAAAUAUCAGAUAUUGUUGUCCUGUUGCUGCCAUAGAAAGUUUUGCUCACAUGGUAUUUUUUUUUAUAUUUGAAUUAAGCCCAAAUCAAAACCUUGUUAAUAUUUGGAAAGGUGUAGUUUUAGGGGAUGAAAUUUCACAGAACAGCUUGAGGAAGCACAACCAAAAGCUGGUCCUUUCAGAACUCUGUAGGAGCACCCACUUCUCAUCACUGUCUCAAGGUGUUGAAUUUCUUACUGAAGAGAAGUCACUGGGUUUGUUUCAAAUGCAGCUUUCUGAAAACAUCACUGGGGUUUUACUCCUAGAGGGUCAAGAGAAAUGUGGCUAUUUCUGGCUCUCAAAGACAGAAUUGCCAUCGGUUACAAAGAAAAGUGAAAAUACUCUAGGCUUCCAAGUUUCAUUUUUCAAAAGCACUAAAGUAAUGCUGAAAAGAGCACAGGAAAUGGGGACAUUUUAUUUAUUGUAAAGAGGAUAUCAUCCUUUUUCUUUGCCUAAAUGAUAGCUCAAAAGCUAUUGGCAAGGGUUCAAUAAACUUCAAAUUAGGUUUUAUCUGGGAGUAAUGAAGGUGUGACCUCUCAAUAGUGUUCUAACCAUAAAUUCCAGAACUAAGAGAAAAAAAAUGUUCUAAAUAGAACUCUGAAGUCAAGGUGUUGCUACAAUGUUUAGAUAACAUGGAUUCAAUCAAGAACCUUCCCAUUAAAUUGACUUGGGUAAAUACACUAAAGGCAAAAUCUUUCUAUAAGGAUCUUCUACCACUCAGAUUUUUCUUGUCAUUUAAGAUUAAACUGCAAUAGUAAAAGCAAAAUCUCACAGGAUCUCUCAAAAGGCAAAAAUAAAAUGUGAAUACUUGUCAUCAGUAUUAGAAAUGAAGGAAAGUAUUUUUAUUUUUUUAAUAAUUAAUAUUUCUAAAGUAGCAUGUUGCCUAUCUGUACAAACACUGCAGUGUUUCAUUGAAAGUGGUGGUUAAUUGAAAAUGCUGAGUACAACUCUAUCAUUUCUGCUACAAAAAACAUGGUUUUCUAGAAAGAAUUGUAACUGAUGACAUGAACAUAUAAUUUUAACUCAUGUCAUUCAAGUUUCAAGUAUUUUUCUAGAGGGCAGGGAAUAUAACACAUUAUAGUGACUAGAAUCUCAUUUCAGCUCUUUGGCAUUUUUUUGUUGUUGUUAAGAGCAGCUGGAUCUGCAAACACAUUUUCUUAAUAUCUGAAUUUUGUAGAUAUAGUUCCAGAAAUGUAGUGCAGAUUUACAGGUCUUACGUUUGUAAUAAAUCUCCCACUCAAAAAUAAUUACAAGUGGAGAAACUGCGCUUAUGUUUUGGGAUGAAUUCUUAGAUAAUUUUAACUUGUCUGUCUAUGAAAUCACUCCAGAAGCCUAGAU